AGUGAACGCUGGCGGUAGGCCUAACACAUGCAAGUCGAACGGCAGCACAGUAAGAGCUUGCUCUUACGGGUGGCGAGUGGCGGACGGGUGAGGAAUACAUCGGAAUCUACUUUUUCGUGGGGGAUAACGUAGGGAAACUUACGCUAAUACCGCAUACGACCUACGGGUGAAAGCAGGGGAUCUUCGGACCUUGCGCGAUUGAAUGAGCCGAUGUCGGAUUAGCUAGUUGGCGGGGUAAAGGCCCACCAAGGCGACGAUCCGUAGCUGGUCUGAGAGGAUGAUCAGCCACACUGGAACUGAGACACGGUCCAGACUCCUACGGGAGGCAGCAGUGGGGAAUAUUGGACAAUGGGCGCAAGCCCGAUCCUGCCAUACCGCGUGGGUGAAGAAGGCCUUCGGGUUGUAAAGCCCUUUUGUUGGGAAAGAAAAGCAGCAGGUUAAUACCCCGCUGUUCUGACGGUACCCAAAGAAUAAGCACCGGCUAACUUCGUG
rnacentral:rRNA from 1 species